UACCCCUACGGGGGGCAGCAGUGGGGGAUAUUGCACAAUGGGGGUAACCCUGAUGCAUCUACUCCUCUUUUUUUAAUAAUCUCCUCGGCGCGUAAAGCCCUGUCAGCAGGGAAGAAAAUGACGGUACCUGAAGAAGAAGCCCCGGCUAACUACGUGCCAGCAGCCGCGGUAAUACGUAGGGGGCAAGCGUUAUCCGGAUUUACUGGGUGUAAAGGGGGCGCAGACGGCGGUGCAAGCCAGGAGUGAAAGCCCGGGGCCCAACCCCGGGACGGCUCUUGGAACUGCGUGGCUGGAG
rnacentral:rRNA from 1 species